GCUCGAGUUAUGAAGAUCGGAAGGAGAAAAGGUCAAGGAAAUGGCGAACUGCAGAAUUUAGGCAACCCAUUAUGCUCUUGGGCGCUGCGCUGCAGCGUUGUCCCCAAGGCUAUUUGGGGCGCCGCAACGCCGGAAUAAUAGCCAGAUAGGACUAUAUUGACCUCCUAUAGUAAAGUGAGCAUAACGUUUUCAUACAAACUUCGAUUGAGG
rnacentral:lncRNA from 1 species